CUGUGGACACGGUCACCAUGGUCCCUUUCCCCCAGUAGUCAAAGUAGUUGUAGUGGUCUCUGGCACAAUAAUACACAGCUGUGUCUUCAGCCUGCAGGUUCUGCCCUGUUAAAGUCACAGUAUUGCUGGAGGAGUCUAAAGUGAGGCUGAACUUAUUUUUCAGGGAGUCUUUGUGGUGUGUUCCUCCAGUAUAUUUCAUUCCAAUCCACUCCAGUCCUUUCCCUGCAGGCUGUCGAAUCCAAGCUGUGUAAUAGCUACCUACAGAAUAUGAGACCUUACAGGAGAUGG